GCCUGGGUGGCUCAGUCGGUUGGGCAUCCGACUUCAGCUCGGGUCACGAUCUCACGGUCCGUGGGUUCGAGCCCCGCGUCAGGCU
rnacentral:tRNA from 1 species